UUCUUCCUACGGGAGCAGCAGUGGGGAAUAUUGCACAAUGGGGGGAACCCUGAUGCAGCGACGCCGCGUGGGUGAAGAAGUCAUUCGUGACGUAAAGCCCUAUCAGCAGGGAAGAAAAUGACGGUACCUGACCAAGAAGCCCCGGCUAACUACGUGCCAGCAGCCGCGGUAAUACGUAGGGGGCGAGCGUUAUCCGGAUUCACUGGGCGUAAAGGGAGCGCAGGCGGCACGGCAAGUCCGGUGUGAAAGCCCGGGGCCCAACCCCGGGACUGCACUGGAAACUGCCGGGCUGGAGUGUCGGAGGG
rnacentral:rRNA from 1 species